GGAAUCCGUUUCCUCUCCGCAUCUGUGGCAGAGAUGUCCCUGCCCCAACCGGUGGGUGUGCGGAUUCUGUGCGGAUUCGCACGGUGUUUGGCACGUGGGUCUCACUCUAUUGCUCAGGCUGGAGUGCAGUGGCUCCAUCUCAGCUCACUGAGACCUUCACCUCCCAGGUUCAAGUGAUCCUCCCACCUCAGCCUCCAGAGUAGCUGGGACUACAGACAAGGUCUCACUGUGUCACCAAGGCUGGCUCAAUCACAGCUCACUGCAGCCUCGACCUCCUGGGUUCAAGCGAUCCUCCUGCCUCAGCCUCCCAAGUAGCUGGGACUAUAGGGAUGCACCAUCAUGCCCAG
rnacentral:antisense_RNA from 1 species